rnacentral:misc_RNA from 1 species
GAUGAAGAACGUAGUGAAAUGCGAUAAGUAAUGCGAAUUGCAGAAUUUCCGUGAGUCAUCGAAUCUUUGAACGCACAUUGCGCCCACUGGUAUUCCGGUGGGCAUGCCUGUUCGAGCGUCAUUUGUACCUUCAAGCUUUGCUUGGUGUUGGGUGUUUGUCUCGCCUUUGCGUGUAGACUCGCCUUAAAAUAAUUGGCAGCCGGCGUAUUGAUUUCGGAGCGCAGUACAUCUCGCGCUUUGCACUCAUAACGACAGCGUCCAAAAGUACAUUUUACACUCUUGACCUCGGAUCAGGUAGGGAUACCCGCUGAACUUAAGCAUAUCAAUAAGCGGAGGA